rnacentral:rRNA from 1 species
AACGAACGCUAGCGGCAGGCUUAACACAUGCAAGUCGAGGGGCAGCAUGAUUGUAGCAAUACAAUUGAUGGCGACCGGCAAACGGGUGCGGAACACGUACACAACCUUCCAACAAGUGGGGGAUAGCCCAGAGAAAUUUGGAUUAAUACCCCGUAACAUAGCGAUGUGGCAUCACAUUGCUAUUAUAGAUUUUUCGCUUGUUGAUGGGUGUGCGGCUGAUUAGAUAGUUGGCGGGGUAACGGCCCACCAAGUCUACGAUCAGUAGCUGAUGUGAGAGCAUGAUCAGCCACACGGGCACUGAGACACGGGCCCGACUCCUACGGGAGGCAGCAGUAAGGAAUAUUGGACAAUGGACGCAAGUCUGAUCCAGCCAUGCCGCGUGAAGGAUUAAGGUCCUCUGGAUUGUAAACUUCUUUUAUAAGGGACGAAAAAAGGCUUUUCUAAGUCGUCUGACGGUACCUUAUGAAUAAGCACCGGCUAACUACGUGCCAGCCGCCGCUGUAAGAC